CCCUGGUCUACUUAUUGCUGGUUUAGCACAUGUGGAUCUGACAAAAAUUGCAGAGUCCCGAUGAACACUGCAGGUGGAAAGACACUAAUUUGACAAUCUGGGACCUGGUCUACAUUAUGAACUUGUCGCUCAGAACACACAGGAGUCAGUCAUGGAUCAGGAUCUUUCUGUGCUAGGAACUGUACAAACACAGAAGAAAAAGUUGGUGCCUAUCCCAAAGAACUUAAAAAUCUUUGGA